AUUACAGCCAACAAACACGAAGUGCACUCGUUCUGCACGUUUCGUUCUCCAUGCAAGCAUGAGCCCAGAGUGGAGCUUGACUUCCAGCGUCACGGACAACAGGAUGCAGUCGGUAGGCGUGGCCCUGGAGGAGCUGCUGGUGACGGCACAGAAACAAGAGUGCCUGACGGUCGGCAUCUACGAGUCAGCGCAACUUCUCAACAAGGACCCGGACAGCGUGGUCCUGUGCGUGCUGGCCGCCGACGGCGACGAGGCGGACGUGGCUCUUCAGAUCCACUUCACGCUGCUGAAGUCGUUCUGCUGCGACAGCGGCAUCACCAUCCUGCGCGUAUCCGGCGUGCCGCGACUCCGCCGGCUGCUCGGCGGCACCGACCGGGACGGAGACAUUCACUGCAUGCUAGUCACGAACCCCCAGGCUGACCACUGCCGACUGCAGGAAGUUGGCAUCUACUGCCAGGAGAGCCUGCGCGUGGACCAGUGGGUACCUGAGCUGGCCCUGCAGGAGCGUUGAAACCAAACGCAAACAAAAGCGGAUGUUUGCGGGUUUGCUCCCGGUUGAACUUGUCAACAGCUGUGAAAAGGGCAACUGCAUCCUCCUCCCACGUAAACGAAUAAAAUGAGGCUGGAACUCAGGACGCACGACAAAGCUGGACUCCGGGAAAUCGGUUUAUGGAGGAGCCCGGCGUGUAUUUCGAAGAAUGAGUCAGCAACGUGGCAAAGACGGCACGACGAGAAGGCGGACUGACAAUGGACCAAUCCGAACGCUCGGCAGGUAAGAUGGCCGCCACUGCCGUCGCAUCGAAUGGUUUGAAUAAAAAAUACGGGGCGACAUCAUACCUUCAUUGCGUCGCUACCUUUCACACAUGACAACGACCAGGGAAAAAGCCGUUGCUGACCGGUAG